rnacentral:lncRNA from 1 species
AUUUUUUGCUUUGGUUUUGUGUGCCUUUUUCCCAAAGUAAGGAUGAAAUAGCUUUUUUGUUUGUUUGUUUUUUGUUUUUUGUUUUUCCCAUUGAAAAAGAAUAGAUACUUGCCUUCUUCUUGGUACAUACUCUCAGCCCAUUUAUACAGAGAUUUGCUAUGUAGUAGCUGGCUUUUGUGAAUUCAUUUACUGGUUUCCUUUUUGUUACAAAUUUGGCUUCUUCACAUGUAUUUAUUUAAGUGAUACUAUUUUUUUAAUCUUUGCUGCUACCAAAGACAAUUUUCUAUCCUAACAUUCUUACAGUCAUGCAGGCCUCAGUGUUGCAUUGUGUUGUUCAUAUUUAAACUUCAGCUCAUUUGACUACCAUCCUAUGUGUCUUCAUACAAGUUCAUCUCAUUUCUCAGAGUAUUCAGAUUCUUAUCAAUCAUCUGAGCAUCAUUGCUGUGUGUAAGUCUUAAGUUCUUUACUUCUUCUUCCAUUUCCACAAAGUUUUGUCUCAGUCUGACAAUUUGACUUUCCUGGUCCCACAUUCUUGGCGUGAUUCCCAUUUAAGCUUUUCUGGAGGCAUUACUCACAUUUUUCAGACCUUAAAGUUC